rnacentral:pre_miRNA from 1 species
UUUGAGGGGAACGUUGUCUGGCCCGAGGACACCAGUUCCAUUUCCAUUUUGCCUCUACGGAAGCUGUUCGUCACUUGGUUGUUAAAUGGUUUGAGCUUGUGCCAGUGUUGUCGGACCAGGCUUCAUUCCUCCCAAU